ensembl:lncRNA
UUGAUGCAGUGCGGUUGGAUCUGCCAUGUGGAGCCUCACAGGCAUGGACUGAUUUCUAAGGUGACCCUCAGCCAAGAGCCAGCAAAGAAGUAGGAUCUGCCUGCAGGGAACCCAGGUUGGCAAUAACACAAAUAGGCUUGAAGAGGGCCCCUUCCGAAGCCUCCAGGUCAGAGCCAGCUUGACCCUUACCCUAAGUGCGGCUUUGAAGCCUGACUCAGAGACAGCAGAUACCCAGCUCACACCCGAUGGCCAGAGCCGUGAUCUUAAGGACCACGUCCGAGUCACAGCUGCACUGAGUCCCCCGAUGCGGAGGACUGAGGCCCAUCUCAGGCGCGGAUGCCCCCCAACCCUGCCCUCCAGGAACACAGCCCGCCCACCUGUGCCCUGGGCUGCUCCCACCCACGCCGGAGGGCUGGCCACGGAGCCCCCUCCUUGGAAGUGAGGCCUGGGCUGGGGACGAGGGCACAGCAUUUCCCUGCAAUCUUGAUCUUUGGCCUGUGGGUUUGUCCUUGGCGAGGGUCUGAGGGUCUGUCCUCAGUUGUGAUAAGAGGUCUCGCCUUUCUUUCUUCCCUCUGCUUUCCCCGAGCCAAGGAAACAUGGAAUCGGGAGGGAAAAUGGCUUCUCCCUGUUGCACCCAAGAACAGCCUGCUGGAGUCUGUGCUGAGGCUGCUGGGUGGGAGGCCCGGCCUGUCCUCAGAGGCCACGUCUGCAGCGAGGUUCUGCAGACCGAGCCAGUGCACAGCCCGGGGCCUCCCGGCUGUCUGGGCCCUGGUGGCCCCACAGGCCUUCCCCUGUCCCGAGUGCGCCUCCAGAACACACCGUGUCUUUGGCCCGGAACGGCCUCCCGCUGGGGAGCCUCGUGUCUCCCACUCCCUGUCUCGUCCACCUCCCAUCCUGUGUGACUUCAGUCAGGAUGCAGGGAAGUCCUUCCCUCAAGUGAAGACAGCCGUCCAGGUUUUCAGCCUGGGUGUUGACUUCCUCUCGAAUCCCCAGUGCUUGGACACAAGGUCAUGGACCGCACUAGAGGAGGGUGCUGUGUCUGAUCUUGGACAAGUACACAGUGAGUCACGCCCUGGACCCCUGAGUGAGCCCAGCAGAGUUCAUCUAAGCUGACCACUCGGUGAGUGACACCUGAUACUUAUGCCACUGAGGUUUUGUUACACAGCAUUGUUUUGGUGAUUGAUACAGCAGGAAUGUCACUUAUAACUCUUGGAUGGCUUGAAUUCUGUAAGAGCAGGAUGGUACCCUGUGGACUGCCCAGUCCUUCAAAUCCGUGUUGACUGAGUGAUCUAAUAAAGAGAAGUUUGUAACCCUCUGCGGUUCUGUCUGGCAUAACACCGGUUCCCUCUGCUUACAGCAUCUCUGAUUGGGGUCACUGCUGUUUCCCAUCCACUUGGUAUCCAGCAAAGGCAGACAGAAAGACAGAAAGACAGAGGAAAUUGGAGACUGAGUAGCUAGGCUCUGGUUUUAUGCACAAAGCGAAGGCUCAGUAAGUCUUACUUGCUCCCCUGAAUACUUUGGGUCCCGAGUCCCAUGGCAAGCCUGGUAAUUCCUCAAGGGAAAGCGACUUGGAGCACAGCACAGUGAGCUGGACAGAGAGUGGUGCCUGUGUCGGGUGCUCGGUCUGUAGCAGGCACUUCUUGUCCGUCCAUUCUUGUUUGAUUCUGCAGAGAGGAAUUGAUCUGGAGGUAGAAACUCCGCUCAGAGACAGGAAGCGAGCAAGCAGAUGCACACCGCUGGCAAGGCGGGGACCCUGGCCAGCAUCCAGGCCACACUCUGUGCAAGCCAAGCAGGGAUCCUGCCUGGUGGAGGUGACUGGCCAGCUCAAACUGCACAGUUGUCGGCGUGGCCAGGUUGCUGGGCGCCUCCUUCAGUGCCGCUGGUGUGACUCGGACCUUGUGGGGAUCCUGGCCGAGUCAGCAGGACCAUAGGGCCGGCUGGCGGCAGGGCAGUGUAUCCUGACCACCAUCCUGGGCUGAGGAGCGAAGCCCCAGUCCGGUCCCCUGUCCCUGGCCUGUCCUCCCCAGCCUGCCAGCUCCAAGGGCGGGAAUGGGGCCAGCGCCGGGAGCUUCUCGGGCUUCUGCUCCUGCUGGCACUGGCUGGGCAGGAGCUCUGCUUGGCUGGCUGCCCUGGGCACUUGCCACCCUUGUGUGUUUGCUUGGCCAUCGGGGUGAGGAAGCAGGAUGCUUUCCAUUGGACCCUGGGCGUUCCGGGCUUCAGGGGCCAGCGGCCAGCCAGGGCGGGAUCUGCCAUCCGUGCCUCCGUCUGUCCUCUUUGUCCCUCUCCCUCUCCUACCUGGCAGGCAGUUCAUAAUCCCGCCACCACCAGAUGCAGCGGGGGAGCAGGGGGAGGCCCACUGCUGUGCAGAGCAGGAACACUGGUGAGGGCCGCCCGAGAGCCUGCCUCAGGCACCUCCAGCCUCGGAGGGAGAGGGACUGUGGCACCCCGGCACCCUUCUCCCACGCCCAGCUGCACCAUUCCCAGACCAUCUGGGCCUCGUCCACAGCGUUUGUUUGAGUGGUGGUGAGACCUCUGGCACCACUCUGCCUGUCUUUGGUUAGAGCAGACAUAGGGAUGAUUUACAAUCACCCAGGAUCUCAGCAUGACUUCCUGUUAGGGUCAGGGAGAGACGCACUCCUGGGCCGUGCUACCUUGCUGAGACAGAGGCUGGCCAUGGAGAGAGCCACUGGUGCCCUGUGAGUGGCAUAUUCCCAGGAGCCCCAUGUUCUGGGUGGGGUAACUGAGGCCAGGAGCACUGGAGCCCUACACAGGGCCUUCCCGGUAGGGUAGGCAGAGAGCACACGGAAGGAAGCCGGGCUCCCCUCCCCCUCCCAAAGCAGCUUGCGUUCCCGCUGUCUGGCGCGGGCGGGCAUUGUAGUACCCCUGGGCUUUGCUGAGGGUGCCUGCCCUCAGAGGGAACCUGGGGUGCCAGGGCUGUGGACACGGAGAGAAAGGCCUUUCUGGUCCUUGGCUCUAGGCUCGGCUCCUACGUUUUUCAGACAGGAAGGUCCCCAGGGCCAUGAUCGCCCCGCCCCACAGAGGACAGCAGAGCUGGGAGGUGAACGGGACACUGCCAUGCCUCUGGUUCACUGAGUGCCGAGGAGUGCAGGGACCGGGCUGAUCCAAGGCCUGCUCAACAGGGACAGAAGGGCCCGGCUGUGAAGGGCCUGGGCUGGCCUGGACAGGGCGCCUGGAGCUGCGGCUGGGCUGUUCCCUUCUCAGCCUCCCCUUCCCACAGGGAUGUGCUCAGCUUUCUCCCAGCCCCGCAGCCCACAGCCUCUGUCCCCACGAGGAGACCUCAUGCGGAACGCACUCUGAGGAGAGCCUGGACGGGCGGAGGGAAGGACCUGCCCUGAGUGCCUCCUCACUGUGCUGUCUGAAGCCGUGGGACCCACCAGCCGCCUGCCUCAGGGCCUCUCUUUUCCUCCCUUCACCUCGUUCUCACCUCCGGAUACUUGGCUUCCAGUUGUCCGAGGAAUAGAUGUGCUGGCUUCUUGUAAACUGGCCUGCCCCUAAGAUGCGGAGAAAGACUUUUGGCCUUGUGACAGCCACAGACAGCUGACUCAUCCUAGCUCCUGGACUCGCUGGCUGUCCACAUCAUCCCUGGAAGUCACAGAACCUUCUUGGCCCCAGGCCUGAGCCAGAGAAGGGGGGAGAAUGGAGGGAGCAGCUCACGUUGGCUGCUUUUUGACUGUUUUCUUCCCUCCCCAAGUAUUGUUCUUUUGCUUCUGAGAAUCAUGGUGCUCUGACUGCUGCACUUCGCACACAGAGUGCUCAGUGUUUGGAGACUGAGCCCACCGCCGACAAGCAACAGGAGAGACAAAUCCAUACCAGGACAGUGGGACAGGGCCAGACCAGGACGCCCAGCCCAUAUCUCCACAUGCCCAGCUGGCUCCGUCCUUGCAUCCAACAGAUCCCUCUGAUCUUCUUACAGUGGAUUACAAGCAAAACAAAACUUCCUGGCCAGACUGAUACCAGAUUGAAGGAAACAGCUGGCUUUCAUGGGGACAAGAAAACAGAAUCCAGCCAGAGUGAAGACCCGCGCCAGUCUGUUCUGCACCGGGCAGCUGCUGGGGAAGUGCUGGGUACGUCCAGAGGUGUGGGAGGAUGUGGAUUCCGGAAGUGCUGCCAGGCGAGCUUGCUGUGGCUGAGAGGAGCCCGGGCCUCGGGGAUUCUGGGCAUUUGAGGUUCCUCCAGGGCCUUACUGUGCUGCCCCAGAAGGCGGGUGCUGUACCUCUCUGCUUGAGCACCAAUCUGUCAUUUUCAGAUUCCGCUGUCCUACUGACCAGCCGUGUGACCUUAGCAACCUGCAGAGAAGUCCCAGCUUGCCUUGUGCGUUCCACAGUUCCUGGAGACAGUUCUACAUUUUGGCCUGAGCGUUGGCACCCAGCUGGAUCUUGAAGCAGAGCUUUCUCUUCCUCGUGAGCGGCCCCCAGGCUCUGCCUUUGGGGAGCAACAGCUCACCACCGCAAGUUCAUGAAUCUAAGAGGCAGACCUGGAAUCUGAAUCUUUUACCAGUUGCUUCAGGGAUGGGAACUUCGAUGGAAGCCCACUCACGUGGCUUCUGCUCGUGGUUGGCCUGUGGACGACUGUUUCCCAGCAGCACUGCUAUCCUUGGCUGGCAAGCUGCUGCUCUUCUCCCUCCCAGAGAGCUCUAGCUAAUACAGUCUACUCCGGUGAGCUGUGACCCCACGUUCUGUUUAGAUGUUCAGUCUUACUUUUCUUGCAAUGUCCUUGGGAAAGGCCGGGCCUCUUCCCCUCACCUGUUCCAGGCCAUCUGAGGCCAGCCAGACCACUCAGGCCCCUCCCUCAGCCAUCAGCUCCAGCUUCCGAGUGCUUUCUUAGCUCCCAGUACCUUCCCACCAGGACAGGCACCGGUGCCAUUUCUUGAGUGUCUGUCCUGUACACAUUCAGGGGAACAUAUGGUCAUCUUGAACCAGGAGAUGAUAAAUAACUUAAGAGGGGCACCCAGCCACAUUCUGACAACAGCUUCUACCACCUGGACAGCCUUUCAUUCCUACUGCACCAGAGACCAGAGACCGGAUAUGUACAUCGCAUUUUCAGAGCCGCAGGUCCUAAAGACCUCCCUGUCAACACAUGUGAACAAAGUCUUGCAGGAAAAUGUCAUCCCAUUUGAAAUGUGCAGCUUGUCCUUGCAUUACAGACAAGUGCCAGAGAGGCAGGGCCGCCCGGCACGGCCACAUGGGAAGGCCCAUAAAAAGCACGCACCCCGCGGCACAGCACGCAGAACCCAGUGCUGCUCACGGCCUUUCUCCGCUCCAUCUCUCAGUUCAUACACGUGUUUUCCUCCCUGCACUUUGGCACCCAUCAGGAUUCAAAUUCCAGUUUGUCAGCCCUUGUAGAAAGGGGUUCAGAUCCUGGCAUUAAGGCUCCGCCGUGGGUGUGCAGGGACCUGUCAUUGCAGAAUGGUCUCAGAGCCUUCAUUUAUCCUCGCAGCCAUCCUCUAGGGGCUGCCCAGAGGUGGCGAAGGAAAAUCAUUGCCUCGCUUUGAGUCCAGGCAGCAGGAGUCCUUCUGUUCAGUUGCUCAUUAGCUGAGUGCCUGUGAACAUAAUUUGAGGUGCAUUCCAGCCCUGGGAAGAGGCCACCCCUUUCUACUGAGCUGGUUGUCCCAUCUGCAGAUAUCCUGGGAAUCUACCCCAGCGCGAUCCUGUGUGCUCACAUUUACCUGAGCAGCCUCCUCAGGAAAUGAGCUCUCUCCUUCUCAGCUACUUUACCUCUCCAGUGGAUAACCAGGCUCCGGGUUGUGGUGGGUCCUUCUGAAGCAUGUAUGGAGUACGUUAGCAGGUAAUGAUACUAACAUAUCAGUCACGCUGCUUCAGGUGGAUCGGACUCCUGUCUGGGUACCAGCUUUACUUCUUUUCUCAUUACAAAGCAGUGAGGACUUAGAAAAAGCCAAAAUACUUGUAUUGUUCAGAGGUAACUAAUUAAAUGAACUGCUAGGAGCAGUGGUGGUUGUGUGGACACAUCUAUUAUACCUAUUUAUGUGUAUAAUAGUAUAGCAGUGCACAUGUUCAUUUGUAAAUAGCUCUUUUACUAAAUACUCUCUAUUAAAUGGCUUUCCACACCAAUGUGUGCUUUUUCAGCUAUGUCACCAUGUUACCAUUUGAUCCUGUGGGCCCCAUCUUCACCAUUAUUCAGGCAAGAAAGACACUUAGAGUGAAUUCAACUUUGGCACUAUUACAAUCAGUGCUUCAGUGAUUUCUUUGUUCUUUUUUUUUUUUUGGUGCUGGGGAUUGAACCCAGAGCCUGUGCAUAGGCUCCAUCACUGAGCUAUAUCCCCAGACCACACUGAGUAUUCUGAAAACAUCAAAAGGACAGUAUUUUGUGAUACACAGAAAUUACUUGGAAUGGAAUUGGAAAUUCCAGGGCCCAUAAAUAAAAUGUAGUUAGAACACAGAACACCCUUUCCUUAACCUGUUGUCUGUGGCCUCUUUUAUGCUAUGAUGGCAGAGCUGAGCUCCCAUGACCCAGGUCAUAUGGCUGCAGGGACCAAGAUACUUACCCUCUACCGCUUUACCGAAAGAGCUUGCUGUGUAAGCUCAUCUAAACCUACAUAGCACAGGCUGUUACAAAUGGGAGAGUGAGGAACAGAGGACAGGAAAUUGAAGUCACUCACUGGCUGGAAGUGGGGGAGGCCAGCUUUGGUUCCCAGUGUUGGGGCUCUUGGUUAUCGGGAUAGAUGUCAUUCUGCAGGUUGGGAAGGCGAGGUGGGCAGUUCUGCAGGAAGGCCUGUGUCUCACCGUGGGCUCUUCUCUCUCCAGUGGCCUAGGUCAGCCUGCCAGCACAGGGCCAAGUCCACGGGGGCAGGCAGCAUGUCCUUAUGAACACAGCCAGCCAAGCUCAAGGACCUGGCAGGGCAGGACGAGGUGUGACACUGAGCUUUCUGUUGAUGCUUGUGGAGCAGGUGGCUGAAUGGGAUGAAUAAUUCCUGGAUUCCAAGGCUGACAGUCUGGGGAUGGGGCAGGGACCCCUGGGAGAAGCAGCAAGCUGCGGAGGCUUCUUAUGGGAAGGGGAACUUCCCAGUCACCAGGUCCAGGCCCACUCCCCGGGGACACGGGGCCCAGGCCAGGUGCCAGGCAUUUCCUUCAUUAAAGUCUCACCACGGAAGCUUAGCUCUGUCUUUGCCCAUCACAGUGGUCUCCACUAUUUUUGGCUAAAAGUCCUUUUAAAGCAGCUUUGUUGAGAUAUAAUUCAUGUAUCAUACAGUUUACUAAUCUUAUUUUUGCCAAAAUCAUUUAACAAUUUAUUUUAACAUAAAUCCAUUUAACAAUAUGUCAGCAAUGUAGAAGCACUUAAUUUACAAAUGAGUUAAAUAUGUAACACAUUUUACCAUAAUAGCAAAAUCUGACUUUUACAAAUCAGAUAAUUUACUGAUCUUAAAAAAUAUGGUUACCUCAGAAAGAGCCUUAACUGUCUCCUCCGAGCCUGCUCCCCUGCACGACCUGUCCCACGUGCCUUCUGUUGCUAUGGAGUUGCCCACUGUAGACACUUCAUACAAAUGCACCCAUACAGUGUGCCGCCCAUGUACUGUGCUUCUUUCACUUGGUGUAACAUUUUCAAGGCUUCUCCUUGUUGUAAAUGUAUCAGGGCUUCAUUCUUUCAUUGGGUUAAUAAAUACACCACUGUA